ACGCUGGCGGCGUGCCUAAUACAUGCAAGUCGAGCGAACGGACGAGAAGCUUGCUUCUCUGAUGUUAGCGGCGGACGGGUGAGUAACACGUGGAUAACCUACCUAUAAGACUGGGAUAGCUUCGGGAAACCGGAGCUAAUACCGGAUAAUAUUUUGAACCGCAUGGUUCAAAAGUGAAAGACGGUCUUGCUGUCACUCAUAGAUGGAUCCGCGCUGCAUUAGCUAGUUGGUAAGGUAACGGCUUACCAAGGCAACGAUGCAUAGCCGACCUGAGAGGGUGAUCGGCCACACUGGAACUGAGACACGGUCCAGACUCCUACGGGAGGCAGCAGUAGGGAAUCUUCCGCAAUGGGCGAAAGCCUGACGGAGCAACGCCGCGUGAGUGAUGAAGGUCUUCGGAUCGUAAAACUCUGUUAUUAGGGAAGAACAUAUGUGUAAGUAACUGUGCACAUCUUGACGGUACCUAAUCAGAAAGCCACGGCUAACUACGUGCCAGCAGCCGCGGUAAUACGUAGGUGGCAAGCGUUAUCCGGAAUUAUUGGGCGUAAAGCGCGCGUAGGCGGUUUUUUAAGUCUGAUGUGAAAGCCCACGGCUCAACCGUGGAGGGUCAUUGGAAACCGGAAAACUUGAGUGCAGAAGAGGAAAGUGGAAUUCCAUGUGUAGCGGUGAAAUGCGCAGAGAUAUGGAGGAACACCAGUGGCGAAGGCGACUUUCUGGUCUGUAACUGACGCUGAUGUGCGAAAGCGUGGGGAUCAAACAGGAUUAGAUACCCUGGUAGUCCACGCCGUACACGAUGAGUGCUAAGUGUUAGGGGGUUUCCGCCCCUUAGUGCUGCAGCUAACGCAUUAAGCACUCCGCCUGGGGAGUACGACCGCAAGGUUGAAACUCAAAGGAAUUGACGGGGACCCGCACAAGCGGUGGAGCAUGUGGUUUAAUUCGAAGCAACGCGAAGAACCUUACCAAAUCUUGACAUCCUUUGACAACUCUAGAGAUAGAGCUUUCCCCUUCGGGGGACAAAGUGACAGGUGGUGCAUGGUUGUCGUCAGCUCGUGUCGUGAGAUGUUGGGUUAAGUCCCGCAACGAGCGCAACCCUUAAGCUUAGUUGCCAUCAUUAAGUUGGGCACUCUAAGUUGACUGCCGGUGACAAACCGGAGGAAGGUGGGGAUGACGUCAAAUCAUCAUGCCCCUUACGAUUUGGGCUACACACGUGCUACAAUGGACAAUACAAAGGGCAGCGAAACCGCGAGGUCAAGCAAAUCCCAUAAAGUUGUUCUCAGUUCGGAUUGUAGUCUGCAACUCGACUACAUGAAGCUGGAAUCGCUAGUAAUCGUAGAUCAGCAUGCUACGGUGAAUACGUUCCCGGGUCU
rnacentral:rRNA from 1 species